AGGACGAACGCUGGCGGCGUGCUUAACACAUGCAAGUCGAGCGGAAAGGCCCUUCGGGGUACUCGAGCGGCGAACGGGUGAGUAACACGUGAGUAAUCUGCCCUUAGCUCUGGGAUAGCUCCGGGAAACCGGGAUUAAUACCGGAUACGACUGCUACGGACAUCUGUGGUGGUGGAAAGAACUUCGGCUAGGGAUGAGCUCGCGGCCUAUCAGCUAGUUGGUGGGGUAACGGCCUACCAAGGCGACGACGGGUA
rnacentral:rRNA from 1 species